AACUUUCAACAACGGAUCUCUUGGCUCUCGCAUCGAUGAAGAACGCAGCGAAAUGCGAUAAGUAAUGUGAAUUGCAGAAUUCAGUGAAUCAUCGAAUCUUUGAACGCACAUUGCGCCCUUUGGCAUUCCAUAGGGCAUGCCUGUUCGAGCGUCACUAACAACCCCAUCACAAAGAGUGUGGUAUUGGCAGAAGUGGGUAGGGCUGGCAGUGCUGGCCCCACUCUGCUGGAAUG
rnacentral:rRNA from 1 species